rnacentral:rRNA from 1 species
CAGGAUGAACGCUGGCGGCGUGCCUAAUACAUGCAAGUCGAACGAGUUCUGAUUAUUGAAAGGUGCUUGCAUCUUGAUUUGAUUUUGAACGAGUGGCGGACGGGUGAGUAACACGUGGGUAACCUGCCCUUAAGUGGGGGAUAACAUUUGGAAACAGAUGCUAAUACCGCAUAAAUCCAAGAACCGCAUGGUUCUUGGCUGAAAGAUGGCGUAAGCUAUCGCUUUUGGAUGGACCCGCGGCGUAUUAGCUAGUUGGUGAGGUAACGGCUCACCAAGGCAAUGAUACGUAGCCGAACUGAGAGGUUGAUCGGCCACAUUGGGACUGAGACACGGCCCAAACUCCUACGGGAGGCAGCAGUAGGGAAUCUUCCACAAUGGACGCAAGUCUGAUGGAGCAACGCCGCGUGAGUGAAGAAGGCUUUCGGGUCGUAAAACUCUGUUGUUGGAGAAGAAUGGUCGGCAGAGUAACUGUUGUCGGCGUGACGGUAUCCAACCAGAAAGCCACGGCUAACUACGUGCCAGCAGCCGCGGUAAUACGUAGGUGGCAAGCGUUAUCCGGAUUUAUUGGGCGUAAAGCGAGCGCAGGCGGUUUUUUAAGUCUGAUGUGAAAGCCCUCGGCUUAACCGAGGAAGUGCAUCGGAAACUGGGAAACUUGAGUGCAGAAGAGGACAGUGGAACUCCAUGUGUAGCGGUGAAAUGCGUAGAUAUAUGGAAGAACACCAGUGGCGAAGGCGGCUGUCUGGUCUGUAACUGACGCUGAGGCUCGAAAGCAUGGGUAGCGAACAGGAUUAGAUACCCUGGUAGUCCAUGCCGUAAACGAUGAAUGCUAGGUGUUGGAGGGUUUCCGCCCUUCAGUGCCGCAGCUAACGCAUUAAGCAUUCCGCCUGGGGAGUACGACCGCAAGGUUGAAACUCAAAGGAAUUGACGGGGGCCCGCACAAGCGGUGGAGCAUGUGGUUUAAUUCGAAGCAACGCGAAGAACCUUACCAGGUCUUGACAUCUUUUGAUCACCUGAGAGAUCAGGUUUCCCCUUCGGGGGCAAAAUGACAGGUGGUGCAUGGUUGUCGUCAGCUCGUGUCGUGAGAUGUUGGGUUAAGUCCCGCAACGAGCGCAACCCUUAUGACUAGUUGCCAGCAUUUAGUUGGGCACUCUAGUAAGACUGCCGGUGACAAACCGGAGGAAGGUGGGGAUGACGUCAAAUCAUCAUGCCCCUUAUGACCUGGGCUACACACGUGCUACAAUGGAUGGUACAACGAGUUGCGAGACCGCGAGGUCAAGCUAAUCUCUUAAAGCCAUUCUCAGUUCGGACUGUAGGCUGCAACUCGCCUACACGAAGUCGGAAUCGCUAGUAAUCGCGGAUCAGCACGCCGCGGUGAAUACGUUCCCGGGCCUUGUACACACCGCCCGUCACACCAUGAGAGUUUGUAACACCCGAAGCCGGUGGCGUAACCCUUUUAGGGAGCGAGCCGUCUAAGGUGGGACAAAUGAUUAGGGUGAAGUCGU